UGCCUAUACAUGCAAGUCGAGCGGACUUGAUGAGAAGCUUGCUUCUCUGAUGGUUAGCGGCGGACGGGUGAGUAACACGUAGGCAACCUGCCCUCAAGCUUGGGACAACUACCGGAAACGGUAGCUAAUACCGAAUAGUUGUUUUCUUCUCCUGAAGAGAACUGGAAAGACGGAGCAAUCUGUCACUUGGGGAUGGGCCUGCGGCGCAUUAGCUAGUUGGUGGGGUAACGGCUCACCAAGGCGACGAUGCGUAGCCGACCUGAGAGGGUGAUCGGCCACACUGGGACUGAGACACGGCCCAGACUCCUACGGGAGGCAGCAGUAGGGAAUCUUCCGCAAUGGGCGAAAGCCUGACGGAGCAAUGCCGCGUGAGUGAUGAAGGUUUUCGGAUCGUAAAGCUCUGUUGCCAGGGAAGAACGCUUGGGAGAGUAACUGCUCUCAAGGUGACGGUACCUGAGAAGAAAGCCCCGGCUAACUACGUGCCAGCAGCCGCGGUAAUACGUAGGGGGCAAGCGUUGUCCGGAAUUAUUGGGCGUAAAGCGCGCGCAGGCGGUCAUUUAAGUCUGGUGUUUAAUCCCGGGGCUCAACCCCGGAUCGCACUGGAAACUGGGUGACUUGAGUGCAGAAGAGGAGAGUGGAAUUCCACGUGUAGCGGUGAAAUGCGUAGAUAUGUGGAGGAACACCAGUGGCGAAGGCGACUCUCUGGGCUGUAACUGACGCUGAGGCGCGAAAGCGUGGGGA
rnacentral:rRNA from 1 species